rnacentral:lncRNA from 1 species
UGGCAGAGCUUGGAUGUGAACCAUGCUGUUUACCUGGUUGCUGGGAACAGCUAUCACGUGAGGGCAUGUGUGUGUGUGUUCUACCUGUCCUCCCUUGAUACUCCUGAGGUAGCUGGUCCUGUGCCCAACUUUGAUUCAUUUCUAGUGAAAAACAACCUGACCUGAAGAUAAGAAUUCACUCCAGCAAGAUCAUCAGCUAUGAUAACUGGACCUCUCAGAGUUCAUGUUAACUGGUGACUUAUUGCACUCAAGAGUCCUUAUGUGUGAGAGACAGGAGUCUAGCAUGGCUGUCCUCUGAGAGGCUCCACCCAGCAGCUGACUCAGAGAGAUGCAGACACCCACAGCCAAACAGUGGAUGGAGCUUGGGGACUCUUAUGGAAGAAUAGGAGGAAGGUUUGCAUCCCCUAAGGGGAUAGAACUCUACAGGAAGACCAACAGAGUCACCUAUCCUGGACCCUUGGGGCUCUCAGAGACAGAACCACCAACUACAGAACAUACAUGGACUGGACCUAGGCCUUCCUGCACAUAUGUAGCAGAUGUGCAGCUCGGUCUUCAUCCCAAACAACUGGAGUGUGGGUUAUCCCAAAAGCUUUUGCCUGUAUGUGAGAUAUGUUCUAUAAUCUGGGCUGUCUUCUAUGGCCUCAGUGGGAGAGGAUGCAUCUAGCUUCACAGAGACUUGAUAUGCUCUGUUGGGGUUGGGGGCUCAGAAGGGGAGGGGAGAUUUGUGGAAAGGGGACUGGGAGGGGGACAGUGAGUAGGAUGUAAACUGAAUAGGUAAAAUAAUAAUAAUAAUGAUAAUUAAAAAAAGGGUGUGAGCUUCGGAAGGAAGCAGGCAUCUCUGGAGCUUUUCCAUGCAGAUUGGGAUCCAGCUCAGGAGAGUGGGAGCUCAGAGAACUGUUUGGAGGAUUGCAGAAAUGGAGACCCAGAGGAUGUCAUUGUGUUAUUUUCAAGUCAUCCCACUGCAACUGAAAUCUGAACCCCAGGAAGUUGCUGACCUGAUUCCAUUACCACAAGGUCCUUUGGUAGCCAUGAAACUGAAGACUGGCUGGAUUUGGGAAUCUGGUUGUUAAAGUGCCCCAUGAACAUCCGCAUCUCUGAGCUAUCGAGGCUUAGUCAAGGGAAUUAACCUGGGGAAACCUAAUUUUCUUCUAGAAUUACACAUGUCAAGGUGUCUGAAA